rnacentral:ncRNA from 2 species
GGAAUACGGUGCAAAUCCGUAGCGGUCCCGCCGCUGUAAUCGGGGACACGGACCACUGGGGCGGAAAACGCCCAGCCACUGGCGGCCAACCGCCGGGAAGGCGUGGUUGCGUGGUCGAUCCGAGAGCCAGAAGAC